rnacentral:lncRNA from 1 species
GUCCCCUUCCGGAUUGUGGAAACUUUGUUCUUUCGCUGGAAGAUCUGCAGCUUCACUCCUGAGACCACGAGCCCACUGGAAAGAACAAACAACUCCCGAAGUGCUACCUUAUAGAGCUAUAACACUCACCGCGAAGGUCUGCAGCUUCACUCCUGAGCCAGGGAGACCACAAACCCACCAGAAGGAAAAAACUCCGAAUACAUCUGAACAUCAGGAGGGACAGACUCCAGACGGGCCACCUGAAAAGCUGUAACACUCACCGUGAGGGUCCGGGGCUUCAUUCUUGAAGUUAGUGAGACCAAGAACCCACCAAUUCGGGACACACUUGGACCAUCCGCUUCCCAGGAAGCGUCAGCCCUGGGGUGCCCAUGCCCAGAAGCCCACUCCAGCCCUGAUAGUCGCCUCCCAGCUGAGCCAGGAACCUGGGGCUGAGCUCCAUCCUCAACCUUAAAAACUUGUCAUCUCACCUGUCCCGAGGAUGUGCGGUACCUGCCCUACUUCUACCAUCCUCACCCUACUCUUUUCCUGGGCUAGCGUUAUGAUGUCUAAACCUAUCUAUCAUCCCGUUCUGUGCUCUGUAUAUUCAUUUUCCACAUAACGUAAAAUGUAGGUCUGGCUAAGCCCCCUCCACAUGGACAACGUGGGCCCUACUCUCCACAGACUCCAGCCACCUGCGACCCCUUCUGCCUCAUGCUACGUGUGAUCACAGCCUUUUCUCCUGUUGCUAUCCUGACCGAGAUGCUCCUCUAACAAGCUUGUCCACCCUUUCACACCCCUCAGCACACGCCCUGGCUUCAUAUGGCCGCCUGGUACCCUCCCUGCCGUUUCUGCCCAGAUCUGUUCUGUGCCCAGCAGGUGUUAUUGGCUUCAUCUACUUGCAGGUCUGUCCUUACUAACUGGAACACCCCCGAGGGCAGGAACGGUUUACCCCAGCAUGGAGCACAGUUCCGGGGCCCUAGGAGGAGCUCAGAGGACCUGUGGGAAAUGUUCCCAUGGGCAAUGACUCCCUGAAUGUAACGUCGUAUGUCACCUUGGAGGGAAAGACCCCAUAAAAACCUAAUCAUAUUCAAGGGAAAGGAGCUUGGCUUUCCUGGGUACAGCCUAAUGGUGUUGGUGACUGGGGUAGGAAGGGGACUCAGGUAAGUAAUGUACCCACUUGCAGCUUUCCCCCAGCCAGUCACGUCCAGCCAGGCACAGCCACUCAUGGGGCCCAGUCGUGUCCUAUGCCAGGCAGAGGGUGGCAGGAGAAGGGAAGGGGCUCUGGCAGGAAGGACGGGGGAGCCCAUGGGUGGUGAAAGCUGAUGACAAGCUGCCCACGUGGGAUGCCUUCCAUAGGAGCAGGCCCUCGCCUAUGGGGGUUUCCAGAGGGAGACCCAGUUCCUGCUCACAGGCCAGCUGCAGCCCAAGCAACGUGCUUCUAUUGUAUCAUGUUCUCGUCGAUUCCUCCUUAUCCUGACUGUGAGCCCGAGAGGGCAGGGACCAAGGUCCUAAUGUAUCCCAGCGGAGCGUACACAUAGUAGGUACCUACGUCGUGUUGGUUGACUGAAAGUCUUCUCACCCAGCAGGAGGCAGGCAGUGAUGAGGGGACCUCAGAGGGGUGCUCUGGACUGUUACCUCAGAAGAGGAACUAUGCAGAGCGGGGCGGGCUAGCUGGGGAUGCAGCUCAGGGAGGAGACUGACCUACCGUGACCAUCCCACACCUCCGCAGGCACCAGGGCUUGCCCCCUGGGUCAGGGCAUCGGACUGUUUAGAUGCAAAGAAAGAGUCCUGGGCUGGGAGUCUGGAGCUUCCAGUCUGUUUUCAGCGGUGUGUUUUAGUCAAGGCAUUUUUACACUCUCUGGACCUCUGUCUCCUCAAAUGCAAAAUGAAGAGCUGGACCGGAAACUUUUUCUCGUCCAGUUCCAGUAGCUCAUCUUUCUGCACGAAGGAUAUGGGCUCGGAGUCGGAGGAACUGGGUUCAAGAGCUGGGGCUCCACUUACCAGGUGUAAGUCCUUGGCCAGGUUACUUAAUCUCCCAAAGCUGCAAUUUUCUCACCUGUAGAGCAGGACUGACAAUCAUUAGCUACCUCUCAGAUUCUUGGGAUUAGGUAUGCUUUCAGGUGAAAACACUCCAUACGCUAAGGCACUAUGUGAAUGUUGGUGGUGGUGGUUGUUUUUCUUAUUUACUUAA